CCUACGGGAGGCUGCAGUGGGGAAUAUUGCACAAUGGGGGAAACCCUGAUGCAGCGACGCCGCGUGAGUGAAGAAGUCCUUCGGGUUGUAAAGCUCUGUCAGCAGGGACGAAAAUGACGGUACCUGACCAAGAAGCCCCGGCUAACUACGUGCCAGCAGCCGCGGUAAUACGUAGGGGGCAAGCGUUAUCCGGAUUUACUGGGGGUAAAGGGAGCGUAGACGGUUGUGCAAGUCAGGAGUGAAAGACGGGGGCCCAACCCCCGGACUGCUCUUGAAACUGGGUGACUAGAGUGCAGGAGAGGUAAGUGGAAUUCCUAGUGUAGCGGUGAAAUGCGUAGAGAUUAGGAGGAACACCAGUGGCGAAGGCGGCUUACUGGACUGUAACUGACGUUGAGGCUCGAAAGCGUGGGGAGCAAACAGGAUUAGAUACCCGAGUAGUC
rnacentral:rRNA from 1 species